ACAUGCAGUCGAGCGGAUCUUCAUUAGCUUGCUUUUGAAGAUCAGCGGCGGACGGGUGAGUAACACGUGGGCAACCUGCCUGUAAGACUGGGAUAACUUCGGGAAACCGGAGCUAAUACCGGAUAAUCCUUUCCCUCACAUGAGGGAAAGCUGAAAGACGGUUUCGGCUGUCACUUACAGAUGGGCCCGCGGCGCAUUAGCUAGUUGGUGAGGUAACGGCUCACCAAGGCGACGAUGCGUAGCCGACCUGAGAGGGUGAUCGGCCACACUGGGACUGAGACACGGCCCAGACUCCUACGGGAGGCAGCAGUAGGGAAUCUUCCGCAAUGGACGAAAGUCUGACGGAGCAACGCCGCGUGAGCGAUGAAGGCCUUCGGGUCGUAAAGCUCUGUUGUCAGGGAAGAACAAGUACCGGAGUAACUGCCGGUACCUUGACGGUACCUGACCAGAAAGCCACGGCUAACUACGUGCCAGCAGCCGCGGUAAUACGUAGGUGGCAAGCGUUGUCCGGAAUUAUUGGGCGUAAAGCGCGCGCAGGCGGUUCCUUAAGUCUGAUGUGAAAGCCCCCGGCUCAACCGGGGAGGGUCAUUGGAAACUGGGGAACUUGAGUGCAGAAGAGGAGAGCGGAAUUCCACGUGUAGCGGUGAAAUGCGUAGAGAUGUGGAGGAACACCAGUGGCGAAGGCGGCUCUCUGGUCUGUAACUGACGCUGAGGCGCGAAAGCGUGGGGAGCGAACAGGAUUAGAUACCCUGGUAGUCCACGCCGUAAACGAUGAGUGCUAAGUGUUAGAGGGUUUCCGCCCUUUAGUGCUGCAGCAAACGCAUUAAGCACUCCGCCUGGGGAGUACGGCCGCAAGGCUGAAACUCAAAGGAAUUGACGGGGGCCCGCACAAGCGGUGGAGCAUGUGGUUUAAUUCGAAGCAACGCGAAGAAACCUUACCAGGUCUUGACAUCCUUCUGACAACCCUA
rnacentral:rRNA from 1 species